rnacentral:rRNA from 1 species
GGGGUGCAGCAGGCGCGAAACCUCUGCAAUAGGCGAAAGCCUGACAGGGUUACUCUGAGUGAUUUCCGUUAAGGAGAUCUUUUGGCACCUCUAAAAAUGGUGCAGAAUAAGGGGUGGGCAAGUCUGGUGUCAGCCGCCGCGGUAAUACCAGCACCCCGAGUGGUCGGGACGUUUAUUGGGCCUAAAGCAUCCGUAGCCGGUUCUACAAGUCUUCCGUUAAAUCCACCUGCUUAACAGAUGGGCUGCGGAAGAUACUAUGGAGCUAGGAGGCGGGAGAGGCAAGCGGUACUCGAUGGGUAGGGGUAAAAUCCGUUGAUCCAUUGAAGACCACCAGUGGCGAAGGCGGCUUGCCAGAACGCACUCGACGGUGGGGGAUGAAAGCUGGGGGAGCAAACCGGAUUAGAUACCCGGGUAGUCCCAGCUGUAAACGAUGCAGACUCGGUGAUGAAUAGGCUUCGUGCCUAUUCAGUGCCGCAGGGAAGCCGUUAAGUCUGCCGCCUGGGGAGUACGGUCGCAAGACUGAAACUUAAAGGAAUUGGCGGGGGAGCAC